rnacentral:rRNA from 1 species
GUCCACGCCGUAAACGUUGGGCGCUAGAUGUGGGCCACAUUCCACGUGGUCCGUGUCGCAGCUAACGCAUUAAGCGCCCCGCCUGGGGAGUACGGCCGCAAGGCUAAAACUCAAAGGAAUUGACGGGGGCCCGCACAAGCGGCGGAGCAUGCGGAUUAAUUCGAUGCAACGCGAAGAACCUUACCAAGGCUUGACAUAUAGAGGAAAAGUUCAGAAAUGAUCUCCCUAGCAAUAGUCUCUAUACAGGUGGUGCAUGGUUGUCGU